AAUACCGGGCAGAGGAGCGGGAGCAUCAUCUCUCGCUGAGGAGAAGGAGAAUUAGGAGAGUGUUAGCUAGCUCCCUCGCAUCUCUCAUCUCCCUCUCCCUUUCUCCCUCUCUCUAUAGAUUUCUGUGUGUCUCGCCAAUGGCUGCCACCAAGCCCCUCUGCACCUGUGCUCUUCUUAUCUUCAUGAUCCUUGCCUUCGAAACUUUCAGUAAUUCGGAGGGAACGCCUUCGGUGGAAGACAAGACUAAGCUGUGCAGGAGAUGCUUGGUUGGCAAAGGUAUGGUGGAAGGUCCCAUUGCGCCAGCCGCAAUCCAUGGAGACAAUGCACUUAUGGUGGACACCAAUGAUACUCGUCCCACGACUCCCGGCCACAGUCCUGGUGUUGGACAUUAAUUCUUUUAACUAUAAGAACGCCGUGAUGAUCAAUAAGAACGUUAAGUUUGGGUUAUAAUGUUCCACUCAUGCUCCUAGUGUUUGUGUUGUCUUUUUAUAUAUGGUUUAUUUUUAGUGUGUUCCUGGAGUAGCAGCUUGAGUUCAGUUUUUCAUUUCCCUUGUACGUAGUUUCCAGCUAAUUUAAUUAGCAGUAUGUAUGCACCCUUAGUUAUG
rnacentral:lncRNA from 1 species